GGCCGGUCCCCCUGGUGACGGCAGGUUGUGAACCCGGUCAGGUCUGGAAGGAAGCAGCCGCAGCAGCCGGUGCGGGUGCCGGGGUGUGGCUGGCUGGA
rnacentral:SRP_RNA from 2 species